UAGACUGCAACAGGGACGUACUGGGACUGAAAUUCAGCCCGGGACUUUAAGAUGGAGAGGCCUUUUACGCGAGUGCCCAUGGUGCACGAGCAGGAUUUUUUGCACAUUUAAUUCUAAUAGUGUUUUUAUAGUAUAAAGAGAAUCAGAUUAUGCUGAAGACCUUAAAGAAACUUUAGGAUAACACCUGCCUCCUCAGGUUGUAUAAGCAAGUCACCACUGAACUAAACACAACCAGGUCAGCAAAACCUAAUCUCGAACACAUAAGUCACAGUAUACUGCUAACUACCAGCAUGUCAUGUGUACACUCUUAUGAAAAAUGGUUCUUCAAAGGUUCUGAAAUGAUGGUAUAGGUUCUAUAUAGAACCAUAGCUUACUGAAGAACCCUUUUUUGCUGAAAUGGUUCUUUGUCUUGGCAAAAGGGUUCUUUUUCCCCUCCUUUUUUGAUUUUAAAUUUAGUCAGUUAUUUUCAAGCUGCCUCUUGAUUAUUUUCACCUGUAAAAGCCCUGAAUCAUCAGUCCUGCUGAACUGCCUGCAGACUAACAUCACAAACAGGUAAGAGAGGAAAAUAAUCAUCAUUUACUGUUAAAAACAUUUUGAAAAUUGAAGUUUUGUGUGUUCUUAUUGUAAUUUAUUUAUUUUAUAACAGGUAAGCUUUAUACUGAAAGCUUCAUUCCCUUUAAAGCAGAGUUUUUAUAUUUGAGGUAAUCUUGCUGGGAGUGAAGGCAGUGCGUAUGAUCGCUUGAUAUGAGACACACAUACUGUAUUUAAAGGUCAACUUUAUACGUAAGCUUCAUUCCAUUUAUAACAGAGUUUUCAUAUGCGAGGUAAUCUUGCUGCGAGUGAAGGCAGUGCGUAUGACCACUUGAUAUAGACACAUUCUAUUUUUAAAGGUCAACAUACUGUAAGCUUCAUUCCCUUUAAAGCAGAGUUUUCAUAUGUGAGGUAAUCUUACUGGGAGUGAAGGCAGUGCAUAUGACCACUUGAUAUGAAAGACACAUCCUGUUUUUAAAGGUGGAUCAUGAGUGAAGCUCUGCAGGUCUGCCAUUAGCUUGAUAACAGUGGUUUAUGUGAAUUGAGUGAAUUCAAUUUAUAAAUAAAUCUUUCACCAAGCAUUCACCUAUUUACUGACAAAACAGAUCCAAAUCUUGUUCAGCCUGAUGCUCAACCUUGUAUGAUGAUGACCACAGCCAGGUGAUGGAGAUCUGUUUUAAUCACAGCCUGCGUCUCAAGAUCAACAUGACAAUAGCAGACCAUUUCUUAUCUUACUCUUAUCUGACUAAAUGUUCAGCAUCCAUUGCAACAAAACAAAGAACAUUAGAUGGAGUAUUGGAGUAUUGGAUGAUCCCGUAAAGAAAAUAAUAUGGACUUUUUUGGUGAGAUUCUACAAAGAUUGACACAAUCCUAUUGACUUUUAUUUUUACAGUUAAUAAUGCAUUAUAAACAUCCCAUUCAUUUGUAUUCUAUGUCAUCGAUCUGUUUGUGCUAAAAUGUAUACAUCUGAAUAUAAUGUCAAUAAUAUGUUAAUAUUCAGGAUUUAUUAUCAUUUGCAUGUUUUGAUGUUGCAUAUUAUGAUUUUAUUGAUUUCAUGUAAUUGUUGUCUAUUUAAAAUUAUUUUAAUUGCCAAUUUUUUUUUUACUUUAUUUAAUAUUGAAGCUGUUAU